GCUGGGUGUGGUGGUGCACACCUGUAAUCCCAGCUACUUGGGAGGCUGAGGCAGAAGAAUGGCUUGAACCCAGGAGGUUGAGGUGGCAGUGAGCUACAGUUGAGUCACUGCACUCCAGCCUGGGUGACAGAGGGAGACUCCGUCUCAA
ensembl:misc_RNA Metazoa_SRP Metazoan signal recognition particle RNA